GUAAAAAAGGUUUGUAAAAGUCGCUUUGGAUAAAAGCGUCUGCUAAAUGACUAAAU
rfam:Danio rerio chromosome 13 genomic contig CTG10517, GRCz11 reference primary assembly.